rnacentral:rRNA from 1 species
CGAACGGGUGAGUAAUGCGUGACCAACCUGCCCCAUGCUCCAGAAUAGCUCUUGGAAACGGGUGGUAAUGCUGGAUGCUCCAACUUGACGCAUGUCUUGUUGGGAAAGUGUUUAGUGGCAUGGGAUGGGGUCGCGUCCCAUCAGCUUGUAGGCGGGGUAAUGGCCCACCUAGGCUUCGACGGGUAGCCGGCCUGAGAGGGCGGACGGCCACAUUGGGACUGAGAUACGGCCCAGACUCCUACGGGAGGCAGCAACG